CCUACGGGAGGCAGCAGUGGGGAAUAUUGCACAAUGGGGGAAACCCUGAUGCAGCGACGCCGCGUGAGUGAAGAAGUAAUUCGUUACGUAAAGCUCUAUCCGCAGGGAAGAAGAUGACGGUAUCUGACUAAGAAGCCCCGGCUAACUACGUGCCAGCAGCAGCGGGAAUACGUAGGGGGCAAGCGUUAUCCGGAUUUACUGGGUGUAAAGGGAGCGUAGACGGCGGUGCAAGCCAGAUGUGAAAGACCGGGGCUAAACCCCGGGACUGCAUUUGGAACUGUGCUGCUAGAGUGUCGGAGAGGAAGGCGGAAUUCCUAGUGUAGCGGUGAAAUGCGUAGAUAUUAGGAGGAACACCAGUGGCGAAGGCGGCCUGCUGGACGAUGACUGACGUUGAGGCUCGAAAGCGUGGGGAGCAAACAGGAUUAGAUACCCGAGUAGUC
rnacentral:rRNA from 1 species